UCAACUGUAAAUCAUAUCCACGCGCCCAGCCUGUGCUAUUAUCUAACUGUUUCCUUUCUUGUUAUUCUCGUCUUGCGUUUUUCUUCCACGGUCAUCACAAUUUCAACUUUUAUUUACUACUAUCUCUGUUAACCAUAGUUGAUUUUAUGCACUUUUCCUAUUUCUGUUUCUUGCUUUGUGUCUCAAUUUGGGUUGAAUAUAGAUUUUUUUUUUUUUGUAGUUACUAAACAAAGUUAUCAUGGAAUAACCACAGAUUUAGAAGUUGUAUUAUUAUACUUGUAGAAUUUUAGAUUCCUUAGUAACCCUUAUUGGCAUGGCUGGUCAAAGUCAAACUCUAGACUUAGAGGGAUCUUUGAUUGGUGAGGGUAAUGGGAAGGAAUCGUUAGUUAGGGUAUUGGAUUCUGAUUUGCAUAUAGAUAGUGUUUGUGGUGAUGUGGAUUUUGAUGGAUCAAUUGAGGAGGAUAAAGAUGUGAAGAAUCCUACUAUUGAAGGAGGAAUUGUUAGGUUUGAGGGUUCUCAAUUUGUUAGGUCUUUAGAAAGUAAGAGUGAGAAUGAGAAAGUUGAGUUGAGUGGAAAUGAAAUAACUUUGAAAACAUUGGAGAAAGAAGUGAUGAGUGAUGUUAUUCAGGCUGAGUUAGAUGUUAGACGAAGUGUUGGAGUGAAAGACAGCGUUUUUGGGAAGAUUAAUGAUUCACAGAAAGAGGAGGAAAUUGGGGAGGAAGGAUUUAAUGAUUCCAAAAAGCGAAGAGCAAAAGAUGGAAAAGUGGUAAAGUGUGCUUUCAUGAAGAGUUCAGGAAAAAGUUAUCAGGCAAGUUAUGAGCUGCCGACAAAAAAAGGUCGGUUUUCUGUGUGUGAUUUGGUUUGGGGCAAAGUGAGAAGCCACCCGUGGUGGCCAGGACAGAUAUUUGAUCCAUCGGAUUCGUCUGCACAGGCGAAGAAGCAUUUUAAAAAGAAUCACUAUUUGGUAGCAUAUUUUGGAGAUGGAACGUUUGCUUGGAAUGAAGCGUCUAAGCUGAAGUCAUUUAGGACACAUUUCUCUUAUAUUGAAAAGCAGAAAAAUUCAGAUGUGUUUCGGAGUGCUGUGGAUUCUGCUUUGGAUGAAGUGAAAAGACGGGUAGAAUUUGGGCUGGCAUGUUCCUGUGUACCUAAAGAUACCUAUGACAAGAUUAAACUCCAGAUUGUUGACAACUGUGGGAUUCGACAAGAGCCGAGUUUUGUACAUAGAGUUGAUGAAUCUUUAAAUGUUAGCUCCUUUGUACCUGAGAAGCUUAUGGAAUACUUGAAAGAUUUAUCCAAGUUGCCAACUGGAGGCUUUGAUCGAUUGGAGCUUUUGAUAGCCAAGGCUCAGUUGCUUGCGCUCAAUCGUUUAAAGGGUUACUCUUACUUGCCUGAAUUACAGUAUUGUGGAGGUUUGGGCAACGACACUGACAUCUCGAUUAACGAUACUGAUAAACGAUUGAGUGAAGUUAAUGAGCACACAAUUCAUGUGAGUAAAAUUGGUGAUAAAACUGGUACUGGAGAUACAAAAACCACAAACCGAUCCUGUCGCAAGCAUAAACAUAACCUAAAGGAUGGAAUGUAUCCAGCAAAAAAGAAAAACUUACUAAAACAAGCAAGUGGGACUCCAGAUUCUACCCAUGGUGAUUACCAGAAUGAUGAGGCCAUUGCUAAUCUGAUUUCUCCUGUCUUUUCCAAGAAACGAAAGACUGUUGAUCAUUAUGUCGACGUCUCAGGGAAAAAAGGCAGAAGAAAUACGAUUUCCCUUGAAAAAGUUUCAAACACCACAAAACAAUCGUCAUUUAAAAUUGGUGAAUGUAUUCGUAGGGUUGCUAAACAACUUACUGUGCCGCUCUCUGCAUUGAAAUAUCCUGGAGACAGAUCUCUGAUGGCAGAUGGAAAUGCAGAUAGUUUUUCAGGAAAUGAAUCUGAUUUCUUCUCCCCUAAUCUUGAGACUCAGAAGUCAAACUCGAUUUUUCCCACAGAGUUUUCAUCUCUAGAUGAUUUGCUAUCUUUACUUCAGUGGGUAGCACAUGAACCACAGGGAGAUUACAGUUUCUUGAAUGUUAUAGUGAGUUUCUUCUCAGAUUUCAGGAAUUCAAUCAUUAUUGAAAAUGAUUCUGGGAAAGAAAUCUUACCUACAAAUGAAGUUGGCACCAAAAGGAAGAACCGAACCGUCAGUGGAUCUCCUGAGAUAUUUGACUUUGAUGAUCCGAAUGACACUUAUUGUACAGACAUGGUCAUACAGAAUGGUUCCAAAGAACAACAAUCACAGAGAAGCAGCAGACUUAACUGCCAGCAUGCGCCUUCUGAGCUGGAAAAACCUAUUCAUGUUUAUACUCGUAGGUCCAAUUCGAGGAAAAAGUAUUUUGAUAGCAAUCAUGCCGAGGUUCCUGAAAAACCUUCUGGUUAUAUAGAUGAGAAAUCCCCGGCUGAACUUGUUUUGAAGUUUGCUGAGUUGGAUUCUGUUCUCUCGGAAACUAGCCUAAAUAAUAUUUUUAAGCAUUUUGGACCUCUAAAGGAAUCUGAAACAGAAAUUGAUAGAGGAAGCAGCCAGGCAAGAGUGGUUUUCAAGAAGUGUGCUGAUGCAGAGGCUGCUUUCAGUAGUGCUAAAAAGUUCAACAUAUUUGGACGAACUCUAGUAAAUUACCAGCUUAACUAUGCACCAAGUGCACUGUUGAACGCUUCGUCUUUUGUCACAACGCAAGACCAGGAAUUGCAUCUUGAUCUUUCCAAUGCUGAGCUUAAUAUGGUCUAAGAUUCUAAUUUGGUCGUGAAUAUUUUUAUUGCCAAUGUUGUUCUACAAGAAACAGAACAAGAAGAUCUGGAGGAUGUUUAGAAACCCCUACAUUUUACAAUCCAGCCAAGACAAAAUGAAAUUAGUGUCACUGUCCAGCAACAUUAUGAGACUAAAGAAUUGUUUUUUGGAAGAAAACAAGGGAGUGCUGAAAACGACGUCGAGCAUAGCAUAACUGACUAAACCGUCCAACCAGUUCAUUGCUUAAUGGCUGCCAAAGGAGGUAACCAGAAUGUUGAUUCAUCUGGCCAUCCAUUAUUCUGUUUAUAGAUUUUCAUUUGACAGUAGGGCAUUGUGUUAUUGUUACUGCUUCUUAGUUUGCCAUACUUUUCCUAGUUCCCUGCUCCUUGUAGUGGCCAUUUACAGAUUCUUUGUAAACUUUUUAGUCUGUAUCUAUGCUGUUACUUUAGAGGGAUAGAGGUUAACACUGUCCACAUGGGUUACUAACUUACUAUGCUGCAGAAAUUUGUAAGUGCAAAAAUAUGUUAAUUAGACCCUUUACUGUCUGUAUCUAUGCUGUUACUUUAGAGAGAUAGAGGUUAACACUAUCCACAUGGGUUACUAACUUACUAUGCUGCAGAAAUUUGUAAGUGCAAAAAUAUGUUAAUUAGACCCUUUGCUGUCUUCAUAUUUCAUUGCAAUGGGUUUUUUUAUAUAAGAUAUUUUCAGAUAGGGAUGGCCAUAAAGUCCACAGACUUUUGUA